GUGCCUACGGGGCGCAGCAGUGGGGAAUAUUGCACAAUGGGGGAAACCCUGAUGCAGCGACGCCGCGUGAGUGAAGAAGUAUCUCGGUACGUAAAGCUCUAUCAGCAGGGAAGAAAAUGACGGUACCUGACUAAGAAGCCCCGGCUAACUACGUGCCAGCAGCCGCGGUAAUACGUAGGGGGCAAGCGUUAUCCGGAUUUACUGGGUGUAAAGGGAGCGUAGACGGCAGCACAAGUCUGGGGUGAAAGCUCGGGGCUUAACUCCGG
rnacentral:rRNA from 1 species